UGGGGGAUAUUGCACAAUGGGCGAAAGCCUGAUGCAGCGACGCCGCGUGGGGGAUGAAGGCCUUCGGGUUGUAAACUUCUUUUGCUCUGAACAAGGCAUGCUAAUGGGUGUGUUGAGUGUAGGGGUUGAUUAGCGCCGGCUAACUACGUGCCAGCAGCCGCGGUAAUACGUAGGGCGCGAGCGUUGUCCGGAAUUAUUGGGCGUAAAGGGCUUGUAGGUGGCUGGUUGCGUCUGUCGUGAAAGCUCAUGGCUUAACUGUGGGUUUGCGGUGGGUACGGGCUGGCUUGAGUGCAGUAGGGGAGGCUGGAAUUCCUGGUGUAGCGGUGGAAUGCGAAGAUAUCAGGAGGAAUACCGGUGGCGAAGGCGGGUCUCUGGGCUGUUACUGACACUGAGGAGCGAAAGCAUGGGGAGCGAACAGG
rnacentral:rRNA from 1 species